UUUAAAUUCUACUUCAGGUGUAGCCACUUUACUUUCUCCUGGUUUUCAUCAUCCUGUUGCUGAGUUCUCUCCUACAUCAGCCCUACAGAAGCAACAGUUUUCCAGUUACAGCCUUUGGCAUCCUUCAUAAUCUUUUUUUUCAAUCAGAUUGCAAACAAACAAUGACAUGAAAUGGUUGUUCUUUAUUGCAGAUGCAUAUUUUUGCUUCUCCUCAUACUGUGUUUGUGUUAAACAUUAACUUGUAUGCAGUUUAUAAUUGUGUUGUGUUGCAACAUCUCUAACUCUUGUUUUUAUUUUUCAUCCAGUAGCUAUUUCAAAAAUGUUUUGUAUGACUGACAGUGUGUGGAAUGACCGCCAAAAGAAGUAUUACUUUUAUAAAACUAGAUUUAAUUCAAUACAAUUUGUCACACCUGUUUCAAUUUCCUGUAGUUCACUAAUACUUGUAAACCCAUUGUAAUAUUAAUGACAUUAUCUGUCUUCUUGCAUUCACUGACAAUGUGAGCGUCUGUAUCCCAGACCUAUACAUUGUGGACCUGUUUGGAUGGUAUUCAUGGCAUGGCAAAAAAUAUUUCUGUUUUGGAGGGGUGUGUGUGUGCGUGUUUCAAAAAAGAUUCAUUCUAAGGGUUCUGUGAAAUUGUUGUGUCUGUGAAAAAUGUGAAGUAUACUUCUGUUAAUUUGGCAAAGAAGUGAAAUUAAAUCAUGUCCAUAAAAUAA